GUCCUUCAGCAGCACAUAUGUUAAAACUGGAACAAUACAGAGAAGAUUAGCAUGGCCCCUGCACAAGGAUGGCGAGCAAAUUUGUGAAGGGUUCCAUGUUUUU